rnacentral:other from 1 species
AGCGUUCUGUGCUUCCCGACAGGAAUAACACAUUUCCGGGGCCUUAUUGAUCCUUAAGGGAGCUGUCCCUGACAAGGCCCGUGGGCUUUGACAUAUGGCGCCCACCUACAUUGUAGGUUCCCGGGAUCAACUUUUCCAUCGGUUGUCAUGGGCGCUA